rnacentral:rRNA from 1 species
GAGUUUGAUUCUGGCUCAGAACGAACGCUGGCGGCGCGUCUUAAGCAUGCAAGUCGAACGGUAAGGGAGAGCUUGCUCUCCCCUAGAGUGGCGGACUGGUGAGUAACGCGUAGGUGACCUACCCUGAAGAUGGGGAUAGCUAGUAGAAAUAUUAGAUAAUACCGAAUAAGCUCAUUUGCAUAAAGGCAGAUGAGGAAAGGAGCUACGGCUCCGCUUUAGGAUGGGCCUGUGUCCCAUUAGCUAAGUUGGUGAGGUAAAGGCUUACCAAGGCAACGAUGGGUAUCCGGCCUGAGAGGGUGAACGGACACAUUGGGACUGAGAUACGGCCCAAACUCCUACGGGAGGCAGCAGCUAAGAAUCUUCCGCAAUGGACGAAAGUCUGACGGAGCGACGCCGUGUGAAUGAAGAAGGCUGAAAAGUUGUAAAAUUCUUUUGCAGAUGAAGAAUAAGGAUAGGAGGGAAUGCCUAUCUGAUGA